UACGGAGGGAGCUAGCGUUGUUCGGAAUUACUGGGCGUAAAGCACACGUAGGCGGCUUUGUAAGUUAGAGGUGAAAGCCCGGGGCUCAACUCCGGAACUGCCUUUAAGACUGCAUCGCUUGAAUCCAGGAGAGGUGAGUGGAAUUCCGAGUGUAGAGGUGAAAUUCGUAGAUAUUCGGAAGAACACCAGUGGCGAAGGCGGCUCACUGGACUGGUAUUGACGCUGAGGUGCGAAAGCGUGGGGAGCAAACAGG
rnacentral:rRNA from 1 species